GGGAAGUAGAGCGGAGCAGUCUACACAGCAACAGACCGGUUAUUUACCUAUUGUUUUUUUCGUUUGCUUUUUUUCCUUCCUAAACAUUUCAAAUGUAGAGACAAGCCUGGGUUUUGGAAUCAGAGCUAGUUCUAUUUGGGCAAAUUGAUCAAGUUAUUAUAGCUUAGUGGAUCUAAUUUUCACCAUUGUGAGCUGAGGAUGGCCGUGUCUACCCCACAGGGAUGUUUGACAGUUGAAAGGAAUGCCAACAUUUAUUCAACAGUGUUCACCGAAUACCUGCUAUUUCCCAGGCACGGCAGUAAAGUGAUGAGUAGGAAUGGCAAGGCCCCUAUCCUAAAGGAUCUUACAAUCUUAUGGAGACAAACAAUAUGCAAGAAGUAGAUAUACGCAUAUCCGGUUCCUUGAAGUGAUAAUUACCAGACACAUACAUAGAGCUUAUUAAAAACUCUUAGAUGCCUUACCCUUUUGUAAUAAAGCUAUUCAUCUAGUGCUUGAAUAUGCUGUAUAACAUAUUCAUGAUAUGAUUGGUUAGUAUUUUCUUGAACAUACAGUAAUUAAGAAUUUACCUCCCAAACCAAACCUAUUUAUUAUUUGGGAAGCACUGACUGUGUUUUCAGAUGAUGCUGAACCCGCUUCAUCACCAACCAGUCCUCACUGUACAGGAGAAACAUCCAUAUGUUGGAAGAUCUAAAACUCUCCUCCCUGACAUCAUCUCAUCUCUAGGCCAGCACCCUGGUUCCUUUCAUCAUGAUCCAUAAGAUGCAUCCCAAACAGUCUCCUUAAUGAAAGGCCAUCUCUAGACUCUGGUCUACCAAACCAGCUACACUGAUGUGAAGAAGAAGAUGAUGAAGCUGAACGUCUCAGAGAGAUAAAAUUAAGUGCUCAAGGUCAUCCAUCAAGUAAAUAGUGAAAAGAGGAAACCCAAGUGCCUGCCUGGAGCCCUUUAUUGAACUGCAGCUGGGUACCUUACAUUUGCCAUUUGAGGUCAAUGUGCAGAUAUUCUGGAAAAAUGACCAGCUGCCCUGCUUUAUCCAGGACUGAGGAGUUUCCCAGGAUGUAGGACUUCCAGGGCUCACACUGGGAGAGUGUGGGGAAAACCAGGGCCAUUAGGCUCCCUAGGCCGGGAGUGCCAAACCGAAUUACCCCUCCAGCUUCUAAAGACGAAAAUUAUUCAGUCAAUUAAAAAAAAAAAAAAAGUCUUAAGAUUUCACCUGGCUUUCCUGAAAGCACCUU